AAGACUAUACUUUCAGGGAUCAUUUCUAUAGCUCGUUACUAGAGAAGUUUCUCUGAACGUGUAGAAGAAACUAUGAAACUUCUAGAGGAGA
rnacentral:snoRNA from 1 species